rnacentral:rRNA from 1 species
AAUCAACGCUGGCGGCGUGCCUCAGACAUGCAAGUCGAACGCGAAAGCCCCCUUCGGGGGGCAAGUAGAGUGGCGCACGGGUGAGUAACACGUAGGUAAUCUACCUUUGGAUGGGGAAUAACAACCGGAAACGGUUGCUAAUACCGCAUAAUGCAGCGGCACCUAAUGGUGACAGUUGUUAAAGCGGGGGAUCGCAAGACCUCGCGUCUGAAGAGGAGCCUGCGGCAGAUUAGCUAGUUGGUAGGGUAACGGCUUACCAAGGCGAUGAUCUGUAGCCGGCCUGAGAGGGCGGUCGGCCAUACUGACACUGACAUACGGGUCAGACUCCUACGGGAGGCAGCAGUCGGGAAUUUUGGGCAAUGGGCGAAAGCCUGACCCAGCAACGCCGCGUGAAGGAUGAAAUCCCUCGGGAUGUAAACUUCGCAAGAACGGGAAGAAUAAGUAAGAGCUAACAUCUCUUACGAUGACGGUACUGUUUGUAAGCUCCGGCUAACUCCGUGCCAGC